UACAAGCGUUAUCGGGGAUUUCUAUUGGAGAAGCAGUUUCUGCCUAUCUUCAUGAUUGUACUGUCUUUGGCUUCAUCGUUAUCGUUGAUUGACAGAUUUAUUUGUACUGCACGCCACCCCCUGGCACUAUCGUGACUGCUAAGUUGUUUUGUGUGUAGCCCCUCGACCCCGGCGUUGCUGGUUCUCAGACGGAAGAGGACACAUGAGGUUGUUGUAGGAGCGGGAAAAAAUGGCGACGAACAUCGACUACAGAGCUAACACAUUGAGGAAUCGAAAAAUUGUCUGAGUCUCACCGAUUCUCUGUGGAAACGUUAAAGUUCUGGGAUCAAGAAACUGGCAGAGCCAGGGGAGAUGGAGGAAGAUUCCGGGCACCUCGACAAGUCUGAUCAAAUGACCCACGGUCAACCAGCCUCUCAACAAUCCAUGUCUCCAAGUCAGUCAUUCCAGUGUAACCAUUGUGUCCUCCUAUUCAAAUCAAAAUAUUUCCUCCUGGAACACAUGAAGAAGGUGCAUGGCGUUGAUGUGGAUCCUUCACAAAAUGAUGGGAGUUCUAAUCCCUCAGAGAGUUCCACACAACCUCACAGUAGCACUCUCUACAACAAUUCAGAGGAGAGUUUCUCUUGCCGGCAUUGUAUGUUUACAUCUUCCAGUUGGCCUGUUAUUAUCAAACAUGAAAGAACAAAUCACAAGGUUUCGGUAAAGGGUCCUGGUAAGGGCAGGACCCUGAAUACACAGAAACUGUAUUUAAGGGGCAAGUUGCUUAAUGUCAAAGUGCCACUGCCAGGGAAUAAGAACCAACACAAUGUGUCAAGACUCCAAUGCAAACAAGGGGAAGUGGGGAGACUGAAUUUCCCCAAAUCCAAGUCUACCUCAAAAACCAUAAACAUUCCUAGCUCUAGUCUAUUGCUGGAGAACCUGCAAACUCAAGUGGGAUCCUCUGAAAAUAUUUCCAAAUUCAAAAUUGCGCAUGGGUCAUCUUUAAAUUCCUCACAACUGAAGUUGCCCAACCUCUCAAGGCCAUCACGUGCGCAUGAUGUGACCCUCGUGUCACAUGUGCCUUUCCUUAGCUAUGACCAAGACGGUGGUAAAGGUGUCUCUAAAGUAACUGAAGAGAGAUCUCAUACAGAAAGUGAACAGAAGGGCUCUCACUGCUGCUCACUCUGCAACUUUUCUGCAACUUGGCUAGAAGAUCUUCACACUCACCAGCGAAGUGAGCACAGUUACCUUUUUUACAGCAUGGGGCUAAGUCUGCUGGACGGAACAGCGACAGAACAGCGGGAUCCAAAACCUGAAACGUAUAAUGAAAUGCCACUAACAGAGCCAUUGGCUAAUGCCACCAAGAAGAGGAUGCAUGUUGACACUGCUUUGAGUCCUGCUAAGAAAAAGAUCAAAAAGAGCCCUGAAAGUACAGUCAUCCAAAGCAAGCUGUCAGGGGGCACUGCUUUCACCUUUGAGGUUAGUGAGGAUGAAGAGGAGGGGGAUGCCUGGAGAACUGAACUAGAUGCCUCAGGAACUGAAAAAGAUGAGCACGAUCAAUUGGAAAAUAGAGAAAGCAGGGACAAACACAAAAUACUUUAUCGUUGCAAACAUUGUGACUACAAUCACAGGUCAUCUCGCAGUUUGAGCACCCAUUACCAGAGAAUGCACCCAUACAUCAGGUAUGACUUUCAGUACAUCAUUAAUCCAGAUGAUUGGACUGCCACCUUCCGUUGCUUGGAGUGUCCUGUUGAGUUUGCCACCCCUGAUGACCUCAAGAAGCACUAUAGGGAUCAUCACCCAGAAGUUCCAGAUGUGUUCAUGAUGCGAUCAGAUCAGCUUGAUUUGGUGUACAAGUGCUUUGCCUGCCCAUUCACCAUUUCUAAUGGCAAAUACUUGAAACCCCAUUACAAAAACAAACAUCCAAAACUGAAAAUGAGCAGUCCUUUAAUGUACUGCAGUUUUACUGCCAAGCCUUCUAAAGACGAACCCUCUAAAUCACAUUUAGGGCAAACCUCCAGCCUAAAGAAUGCAGAGGUUGUCUCUCCUGAGAGGUCUCUGACCCCAUGUAAAGAAACUGUUCAUAUCAACUCUACACCCCCAAAAGAAUGUUCUGCUUGCAUGGGAGUGGAUGAGGAACUGUACCACUGCAAACAUUGUGCCUUCAGCAAUAAGUCAGUGGUUCUUGUGCUUGCCCACUUCCAAAAAAGCCAUCCGAAGGCAGGAUUGACAAUUGAUGACAUAAAACAAGAAUCUCUUGCCACUUCCAGGGAAGCUGAGGACGAAACCCAGUCGUCUCCUCAAAAUAUGGUUUUGGAACCAUUCAAACUCCCAGAAGUAAAGUCCCCCAACACGUCCCUCUUUAAACCUGAUGUUGCACAGGAUGAUGUAGAGAACGUGUUUUUCUGCCAGCAUUGCAACUAUGGCAACCUCACAGUGAAGGGGGUGUUGAAUCACCAAAGGUCAAGACACAGUGAUCUCAAUGCUACUGUUGAACAGAUCCAUUUCCAUACUGCGGAGGUUCAUAGUCAAAGCAAAGUGUCACAGGGCAUAGGAAAAGUCUCACAUAGCACUCCCCUCCAAAAAGAUUUAGCACAGGAACAUGUUAUAAAGCCAUUCAAACUCCCAGAAGUUAAGUCUCCUAACACAUCCCCUCCCAUAUCCAAUGUUUCGCAGGCAGAUGAGAGUUUGUAUUUCUGCCAGUUUUGUGGCUAUUGCAACCCUACAGUGAGAGGCGUUAUGAAUCAUCAGAAGUUGAGACACAGUACUCGUAAGUCAACUGCUGAACGGAUCAUUAAACAUACUGCUGCGAUUCGUAGCAACCCCAAAGUGAGAGGGGUUUUGAAUCAUCAGAAGUUAAGACACAGUACUCGUAAGUCAACUGCUAAACGGAUCAUUAAACAUACUGCUGCGAUUCGUAGCAACCUCAAAUUGAGAGGGGUUUUGAAUCAUCAGAAGUUAAGACAGAGUCAUCUCAAGGUGACUGCUAAUAAGGUCAUCAAGCACACUGCUGAGGCUCAUGUUCAAAGUGAAAACCUUCAGUCUACUGGAUUUGACUCAUCAAACUCUUCUCUCAAAUCCACUGUUGAGAACGAGAUAGCUGACUUGUUUUUUUGCCAGUACUGCAACUAUGGCAACCCCAGAGCUAUAGGGGUUUUGAAUCAUCAGAAAUUAAGACAUCGUUGUCUUCAGACAUCAACUAGUCAGAUCCUUCAAUAUACAUCUGAGCUUCGUAGUCAGAAAGAUAAACCUCAGUCUGCUGGAUUUGACUCCUCUCUCCUCACAUCUGAUAUUGGAAAUGAGGCAGGUAACUUGUUUUUCUGCCAAUUUUGCAACUAUGGGCAUCCCUCAAUGAGAGGAAUGUUGAAUCAUCAAAAGAGAAGACACAGUGAACUCCAAACAACACCUGGCGACAUCUUCAGGCAUACUGCUGAGGUUGGAGGGCAAACCGAAGAAUCCAAAAAGUCUAAGGGAGUCAACUUGACAAAUUCUUCUCACAUCUUACCUCUUCCUCUUGUGACAGAAGAGGCUGUGUUAUUCUGUCAGCUUUGCAACUAUAGCAAUCGAACCAUGAGGGUGGUUGUGGAACAUCAAAGGAAAAGACACCCAGAUCUUAAAGCAACUGCUAAACAAAUCCUUGAAUAUACCGCUAUGAUUUUGUCCCAAACUAGCAAAUCGCCUAACUCCUCUUUCUUAACAUCUGAUGUUGUCCAAGAAGAGUUAGAUACUUUCUUCUGCCAAUAUUGUGACUAUAACAAUCCCACAGUGAGGGGGAUUUUUAAUCAUCAAAGUAAAAUGCAUUGUGAUCUCGAAACAAACGCUGCGCAGAUCUUAAGGCAUACUGUUGUCGUCCGAGAGCAAACUAAAAAAUCUCAGCCAAAAGCAGUGAACUCACCUAACUCUCCUCACCUCUUGUCUCAUCCUCUUUUGAAGGACGAGGUUGAACACGUGUUUUUCUGUCAGCUUUGCAACUAUAGCAAUUCAACGGUGAUGGGGGUUUUGAAUCAUAAAAGGAAAAGACACCUUGAUAUGAAGCCAACUGCUAAGCAAAUCCUUGAAUAUACUGCUACUGUUUUGGGGCAAAUGAGCAAAUCCCACCCAGUACGAAGAGACUCGCUAAACUCAUCCCAAGAAGAAGAGAGAAAGUUGUUUUACUGCCAGCAUUGUGACUAUGACAAUCCGACAGUUAGGGGUGUUUUGAAUCAUCAAAAAUUAAGACAUAGUGAUCUGAAGGGAACUGCGGAUCAGGUUGUCAGGUAUACUGCAAUUGUUCCCGGCCCAAAUAAAAAAUCAACAAUGCAACAGCCUAACAGGUCCUCCAUGAAAGCCUCACAAUCUCUCAAGCAGAAAGCUGCACUGCUCAGGUCCUUGAAGUGCCGCAAAUGCUCUUAUACUACUCCCCAUAUAUAUCUUUUGAAAAGACAUCUGAGGAAUAACCACCAAGAGAAAGCCCCGAUCACUACGAUUAUACAUUGGGCUUACCAAGAUGGCCAUUUACAGGAAGGUUAUCACUGUGAGUGGUGUGCUUGUUCACAUACUGAUGCGAAGGGACUCCUCCGGCACUACCGGCAACGUCAUCCAGAUAAAAAAACUGGACUUGAAUCCAUCAUCCUGAGGUUACAUGCCGGCCCUAAGACAUCUCGAUCUAAAAAAAUGAAGCCUAACCCAGAACACAAUGAAAAACAUGAUCAGAUUAUCCUCAGGUUUGGGGAUGUUCCAAAGACCACUUCAUCUUUUCAGACCGGAGGAGGUGACACACAAGUCUACCCAUGCAGAGCGUGUCCCUUUAAGGCUACUUCCAUGGGGGGUAUAAGCAGCCACUACCAUGCAGUUCAUCCAUGGUCUGUCAAGGAAGAUGGGUCUGUGUUAGAUGUCAUUAGUAGUAGGCAGCCCCAAGAACCGGAGGUCAAUGAACAGCUUGAUGUUCAUGAAACCUUGAGUUCAAGCGAGACAUAUAGGUGCCCUGUCUGUUCUGGAGAGUUCAACACCCUCCAUGGUAUGUCUACUCAUUGUGGAAAGAAACAUCCGGAAUAUGAUUUGAAAGUCCAUGAACAGCUUAGUGUUCAUGAAACUCCAAAGCCAAACCAGCGAUAUAGGUGCACUGUCUGUUCCGGAGAGUUCAACAACCUCCAUGGUAUGUUAACUCAUUGUGGUAAGAAACAUCCGGAGUAUGAUACAUCAACUUAUGAAAGGGAACCUGAAGCGGAACCUAGUACAAGUGAGGGGACUCUGGUAUUCAAGUGUUCAAUCUGUCCGUAUGUGAACUCUCACGCUCAUGGUGUUCUAACUCACUGCCAGAUGAGGCAUCCAGCCGUCAAAGCCAGAACUGAGAGACUUGAACAAGAAAUUGUGCACUUCACUGACCCAAAUGAAUGCCUGAAAGUCCGAUCGGGUAAGCGGAUGGGAUUGGCAGGCUUCCGGUGCAAUAUUUGUCCAGUCAUCCAUGCAAAAUUCAAGAAGUUGAAGGCUCACUAUGAGAUGGAUCACAAACGAUCUGCCGCAAAUAUAUUCAAACCGGCUUUGAAACAAUCCGCUGCCAUUAAAAAACAAUUGCUCUCCAAAUACAGAGGCUCCCAGACCUCAAUUGCCCAGGCUGCCAUUUUAAAAAAUGGGAAAUCCAUCAUAGUCAAGUGCCACCUUUGCAAGUACCUUUGCGCCACUAAAAAGGGCCUUGCCUGUCAUCUUCGCAUUAACCACAGUACAGUGGCUCCAAUUGAGGACAAAGAGUUUUCCUACAAGUGUGCUCUGUGCUCGUAUACAACUUUGAUUUGUAAAUACCUUGCAGCCCACUAUAGGAGGCAACAUGGCAAUGCUGCUUUCACCAACCACUUUGUUCCAGCAUUCAGACCUCACCGCAUUCUUCCAAACUCACCGGACCACAAGGCUUCUUUGAGUCAGGAAACCAAAUCACCUGGUGAGAAGAUAAGCUGUUCUCGCUGUUUUUUCCAAUGUCUUAGUGAAAAAGGCCUGGUCUCCCAUUAUGCGAUUUGCCACCCAGAAGUCUCUCCCAGCAAGCACAAAUCUAGCAAACUUAGCCUGAAUAACACAGUGCAGUCUCCCCCCAAGCCUAGAAAUCAUCCCCAGCAACAUAAACCUGUAUGCAAAUUAUUUGAUCCACAAUGUGAGAAAGGCAAAGCAUUGCGUCCAGUUAAAUGCAAGAAAUGCGUGAAGUUAUCUUUCAACUCAAAUCUGCUGCUAAGUAUCCACUACACCAAUUUCCACAAUGAAGAUUUCACACAAGACUUCACUAUACUUUCAAAGACUUCAGAGGAUGGCACAGAGUUCUACAGAUGUGGAUACUGUAACCUCCAAAUCCAGGGCAGUGCGGAUCUCUGCUCCCAUCUCGACCAUCAUAAUGAGGAGUUUCAGAAGCUGACAAAUGGACAGAAGAGGAAACAACGCCUCAGUGACCCACCGCCAAAGACCAAGCCUGUUAAGCAGGAAAGACAAGAACUGCCCGAGGUUCUGACAGCAGAAGAAUCGGACAGUCAUUGGAUUGUGACACAGGUGGAAUCUGUUACAACAGGGAUGGGUCCACUGGUGUCCCCUUCCCCUGUCCCAUCGACAACAGAACCAGAGGGGGGGUCAGUAGGAGAGGAGUGCAACCACUGUGGGCGAACUUUCAUGUCUUUGAAAGGUUUACGCUCACAUGAGCGGAGCCAUGCAGCUACAGCAGCGCUCAAACGGCUGGACAAUGUACCUCCUCAACAGAAGCAGAUGUUUGACCGCCAUAUUAGACAUCGACCCGGGACCAUCAGACCCUUCCACUGUGGGCUCUGUCGUUACAGAACUACCAUAUUGAGCCUCUUGAAGAAUCAUCUGCUCAAAGUACAUGGUGCUCAGGACCCAUCCAAGAACCUCCCUUCCUCCGUGACCGGUAGCGAGAACAAGGAACACACCCUGAGUGCCGCUGAAGAGACCCAGAACCUGCUAGAACCUCAAGAAGGCAACCAAAUGUCUGAUGAUUCUGAGGAAUCAGACCUCACUGAAAAACCAGUAUACUCGGAGCCCCCAGAUGUCCAGAGGCAGCUCAACCACUACAGGCAGGUGGCUCAGGCCAAGGCCUCCAGCAGCCCUCCAAGCCCACAGACCACCAGGACCACUCAAGAUGGCUUACUCGUCUGUGAGUUUUGUAUCUACACCUCAACACACAUCAAGAGUAUGCGUCGACACUACAUAAAUCGCCACAAUGGGAAAAGGCUUGUGAGGUGCAAGGACUGCUCAUUUUUCACAGGCUUCAGGAAGAAGUUGGAUAUGCACAUAGAGACGGCACAUGCCGGUAGCCCAACAGAAGCUCCUAAGGAGCUACACUGCCCUCUCUGUCUUUACCACACCAAAAACAAAAACCGCAUGAUCGACCACAUUGUCCUCCAUCGUGAGCAGCCAGUGGCCCCUAUAGAGGUGCGUCGUCCGAAGCUGUCACGAUAUCUCGAGGGUAUCGUGUUCCGCUGCCACAAGUGCACCUUCACCAGUUCCAGUGACAAGAAACUGCUACUGCACAUGCUCAAGCACGACGAUAUCAAGCCCUACAAAUGCAGACUGUGCUACUUCGACUGCACACAGCUGAGCGAGUUGGAGGCACACCUGUGCGAUAAACACCAGGUUAGUGUUCUAGCUACACUCUCCUUACACCCCCUCAAUCAUGACUCCCAUGCUAACUAGACUGUGGCUCUAAUCAGAAACAGCUCCUAAGGCACAGAGGACUGUGCCUUAGGAUUUCAGACUUGAUGUAUCAAGUCUUCUCUGUUGAGUCAUUUGUCCUUCUGUAGCUGAUGUAAAUAUGUAAUCUUCCUUGUGGUGUUCUCUCCGGGAGGUUGUGAGGAACCAUGAGCUGGUGGGACAGGUCCAUCUGGAGGAACUGGAAACAAGACUGAGCAGAGUCAACGGGGAGGGAGAACAAUUCAUGGACUGUGAGGAGACCCAAGGGCAACAAGAUGAGGUGAACAAAGAUGGCGAUAAGGAGGUGGCAGAGAACACAGCCCAAAACAGUGAAUUCCAGGAUUUUAGUAAUGACAAGAACCAAGAGGGACAAUAUAAGAAAUUCCAAGAGAAGGUAGAGGAACAUUUAAUGGACUGUGAGGAGGAGAACCAAGAACCUGGAGAGAUGGACAUAGAAGAACAAAACAUCCAAUAUCAUGAGAUGCCAGUGCUUAAAGAUGAAGCCUGCAACUAUCACAAGAUGCCAGUGCUUGAAAAUGAAGAGGGCAAAGAGGAAAUGCACAGUAAUCAUGGUGCCACACAGGAAAAUGAGGAGGAGGCAGUGAAGACUGACCGUCUAAAACCUGAGUGCGAUAAUAAACCGGAGCAAGGGUCUGAACAGGAUGAAAAAUAUGAAGAAAACCCCAAGAGUGGCGAGAAGCAAGAUCACGAGGUGGAGGAAAACAACAAGGAAAAUGGCAACAUAUCUUCACCAAAAGAUGCCUCCACUACCCUGAAGAUAAUUCCAGUGACCAGAAAUGAGAAAGCACUUUCCUGCGAGCUCUGUGGCCGGACUCUCAUGAACAGCACUGACCUGGAACGGCAUGUGAUGCGCCAUGGCUUGUAACUCUGUGUUGGUGCAACUGAUGAGGAUGUAUUGAUACUGAGGGUGUUGCUGCUUAGAAAUGGGAGACAUGUCAUAAGAGGGCUGCUUUUAACAGCAAGCUGAUUAUGUAAAGUUCAAUUGAAUAAUGUUUUAUUGUCACUUGUUGCAUACUGUUUCCACCUGUAACUAACUUCUUGACUGGAGACACUGCAGCUAUUGUUGUAAAGGACAUUCUUUUAUUAUUGUAUAUUAUGUCAUGCCAGAAUGACUGUUCACAUUUCCAACAUAUUGGCUGUUUUGAUGCUUUGUAAAUAUGUUGAUCUUGUUGUCUUUUAACAUUUCUGUAAUAAAUGACUUUACCCUAGAGC